rnacentral:rRNA from 1 species
AUGCCGUCGUCUCAGGUUCCGAAGUUUUCAUCUCUGCCUGAUGAGUUGAGGGAUGGCCGUGGUGUUGAGGGUGCUACGUUGGAGCGCGCUGAGCAUAUCUUAAGUAAUGUGUGUUCUGAGCUGCAAAAGGUCCCAACGACAGUUGAGCGUCUGAGCUGUAUCAAUGGUAUCCUUCCUGAAGGUCAUCAACUUAAUGUUGAGGAAGCUGUUGACUACAUUGAGAUGGAGAGAAUUUUAAUCGGUGAUAUGCGUGACGGUGCCGCUGAUCUAGUUCAGAGCUCGGUUUGUCUGUUGAACAACAUGAAGCGUUUCAGAACUAUGCAAGACUCUCGCUGCAAGCCAUAUGAAGAAAGUGCAAAUGUUGUUAUCAAGCAGAUUGAGCAGGAUGAGGCUGCUGCCACCGACAGCAGGGCUGGUGAUGGUACUGAGGCUAAUGUUUCUGAUCACGAAACGAAUGAUGUUGUCUUGGAGCGUCCUGAUGUUGAUAUUGAUCAGGAUGAGGCUACUGGCACCGACAGCAGGGCUGAUGAUGGUACUGAGGCUAAUGUUUCUGAUCCGCAUACGAACGAUGUUGGCUUGCAGCAACCUGUUGUUGAUGAGACCAGUCAUAUUGUUGAGGUUGCUGUUGACCAUGGAGUUAAUGAUCCAUCCACUGAUAAGUGCAAGGGUCCUCUUGUUGGCGAUGAGCCUUGUUUGCCCGUUGGUGAUGCUGCUCUGAAUGUUAGCAGCAGCAAGAUUGAUGAUGUUGCUGUGAAUGCUUCUAAGAUUACUGAUGUUGAGCGUGAGGUUGUCCUUAGUGGUGGAGAUGAUGCUCGUGGUGUUCCAUUGAGUAGUGGGCGCAAUGUUGGUAACAAAGUUGCUGAUGAGGAUGCUGGUGCUGCUAGCAUACUUGAUGCCAAAUCGCCUGGUGUUGGUAUUGCUGGGAAUGAAAAUGUUUCUGAUUGUGAAGAUUUCCUGCCGGAGAAUUUCCCGCCUGGAGGUCUUGAUUAUGGUGAUGCAUUGCAAGAUGCUUCUAGCGUGGAGGAGGUGCCAUCCGAGGAUGAUGAUUUACUUCUGUCAAUUUCUUCUGACCCCUCGACACAUGAGGCGCUCUUGUCAUCCCAGGAUUUUCUUUCUACAGACCCUGAAAGCGCAGCAAUAUUGGUGUCCUCUCAAGAUGUCCCAUCGUCAACCCUGAAACUGGAGGCAUAA